AUAUUUAUUAAUGAACCCUUUAAUCCCAUUUCCAUACGUAAAAUGGGUUAAAUAAAUCUCCUUCAGGCUUUGGACCAUGAGAGCACCAACAAUCACUAGGAGAUAGCAAUUAAAUGGUUAGUUGGAGAGGUUGUAUAUUGAGCCCUUAUGCUGGCAUUAUCAUGCAAAGACAGUAGGAGACAUUGAUGUUGACUCUAUUAAGACAACAUUACUCACGUCGAAUUUACCACAAAAACUUGGUGUCCUUGUCUAUUGCACCACCUGUCUACGUAUAUAGAUAGCAACCACUGCUAGCUUUGCUUUUAUAUAAGAAAAACAAAAAGAGAUUUGCAAAAACAUUGUAAAGUGUAUUAAUUUUAAGACAAUGGCUAGGGUUCCUUGCAAGCAUGUUCUUCUUAUUGUUUUCAUCUUUCUUUGCUUCAUCUCUACAACUCCAAUAGCUCGGAGUUUGCCGAGCGAAAUGAAGAAGGGUCUCGACGACCGGGUGGUUACGACGGAAAACGAAGGUGGAGCACCGCCUGAUGUUGAUGAAUUAGAAUCUAUGGACUAUACUCCAGCAAGAAGGAAGCCUCCGAUCCAUAACUAAGAAAUAUUUUGCAAAAUAAGUAUAUAUUCUACCUGUUUAGGACAUUUAAUUUCUUCAUAAUCAUGUUUUUAUAUAUGUUGGGUGUAAGUAAUUAAUAUUAGUAUAUAGUUUGAGAAAUAAAGUUAUAAUGAAAUCAAGGUCAUAGAAA